UACGGAGGGGGUUAGCGUUGUUCGGAAUUACUGGGCGUAAAGCGCACGUAGGCGGACUAUUAAGUCAGGGGUGAAAUCCCGGGGCUCAACCCCGGAACUGCCCUUGAUACUGGCAGUCUAGAGUUCGAGAGAGGUGAGCGGAAUUCCGAGUGUAGAGGUGAAAUUCGUAGAUAUUCGGAGGAACACCAGUGGCGAAGGCGGCUCACUGGCUCGAUACUGACGAUGAGGUGCGAAAGUGUGGGGAGCAAACAGG
rnacentral:rRNA from 1 species